GGGUUGUGAGGUUAAGCGACUAAGCGUACACGGUGGAUGCCCUGGCAGUCAGAGGCGAUGAAGGACGUGCUAAUCUGCGAAAAGCGUCGGUAAGGUGAUAUGAACCGUUAUAACCGGCGAUGUCCGAAUGGGGAAACCCAGUGCAAUUCGUUGCACUAUCGUUAACUGAAUACAUAGGUUAACGAGGCGAACCGGGGGAACUGAAACAUCUAAGUACCCCGAGGAAAAGAAAUCAACCGAGAUUCCCCCAGUAGCGGCGAGCGAACGGGGAGCAGCCCAGAGUCUGAAUCAGCUUGUGUGUUAGUGGAACGGUCUGGAAAGUCCGACGGUACAGGGUGAUAGUCCCGUACACCAAAAUGCACAGGCUGUGAACUCGAAGAGUAGGGCGGGACACGUGGUAUCCUGUCUGAAUAUGGGGGGACCAUCCUCCAAGGCUAAAUACUCCUGACUGACCGAUAGUGAACCAGUACCGUGAGGGAAAGGCGAAAAGAACCCCGGCGAGGGGAGUGAAAAAGAACCUGAAACCGUGUACGUACAAGCAGUGGGAGCACCUUCGGGUGUGACUGCGUACCUUUUGUAUAAUGGGUCAGCGACUUAUAUUCUGUAGCAAGGUUAACCGUAUAGGGGAGCCGCAGGGAAACCGAGUCUUAACUGGGCGUUAAGUUGCAGGGUAUAGACCCGAAACCCGGUGAUCUAGCCAUGGGCAGGUUGAAGGUUGGGUAACACUAACUGGAGGACCGAACCGACUAAUGUUGAAAAAUUAGCGGAUGACUUGUGGCUGGGGGUGAAAGGCCAAUCAAACCGGGAGAUAGCUGGUUCUCCCCGAAAGCUAUUUAGGUAGCGCCUCGUGAAUUCAUCUUCGGGGGUAGAGCACUGUUUCGGCUAGGGGGUCAUCCCGACUUACCAACCCGAUGCAAACUACGAAUACCGAAGAAUGUUAUCACGGGAGACACACGGCGGGUGCUAACGUCCGUCGUGAAGAGGGAAACAACCCAGACCGCCAGCUAAGGUCCCAAAGUCAUGGUUAAGUGGGAAACGAUGUGGGAAGGCACAGACAGCCAGGAUGUUGGCUUAGAAGCAGCCAUCAUUUAAAGAAAGCGUAAUAGCUCACUGGUCGAGUCGGCCUGCGCGGAAGAUGUAACGGGGCUAAACCAUGCACCGAAGCUGCGGCAGCGACACUAUGUGUUGUUGGGUAGGGGAGCGUUCUGUAAGCCUGCGAAGGUGUGCUGUGAGGCAUGCUGGAGGUAUCAGAAGUGCGAAUGCUGACAUAAGUAACGAUAAAGCGGGUGAAAAGCCCGCUCGCCGGAAGACCAAGGGUUCCUGUCCAACGUUAAUCGGGGCAGGGUGAGUCGACCCCUAAGGCGAGGCCGAAAGGCGUAGUCGAUGGGAAACAGGUUAAUAUUCCUGUACUUGGUGUUACUGCGAAGGGGGGACGGAGAAGGCUAUGUUAGCCGGGCGACGGUUGUCCCGGUUUAAGCAUGUAGGCUGGUUGUCCAGGCAAAUCCGGAUAAUCAAGGCUGAGGUGUGAUGACGAGGCACUACGGUGCUGAAGUAACAAAUGCCCUGCUUCCAGGAAAAGCCUCUAAGCAUCAGGUAACAUUAAAUCGUACCCCAAACCGACACAGGUGGUCAGGUAGAGAAUACCAAGGCGCUUGAGAGAACUCGGGUGAAGGAACUAGGCAAAAUGGUGCCGUAACUUCGGGAGAAGGCACGCUGGUGUGUAGGUGAAGCCCCUGCGGGUGGAGCUGAGACCAGUCGAAGAUACCAGCUGGCUGCAACUGUUUAUUAAAAACACAGCACUGUGCAAACACGAAAGUGGACGUAUACGGUGUGACGCCUGCCCGGUGCCGGAAGGUUAAUUGAUGGGGUUAUCCGUAAGGAGAAGCUCUUGAUCGAAGCCCCGGUAAACGGCGGCCGUAACUAUAACGGUCCUAAGGUAGCGAAAUUCCUUGUCGGGUAAGUUCCGACCUGCACGAAUGGCGUAAUGAUGGCCAGGCUGUCUCCACCCGAGACUCAGUGAAAUUGAACUCGCUGUGAAGAUGCAGUGUACCCGCGGCAAGACGGAAAGACCCCGUGAACCUUUACUAUAGCUUGACACUGAACAUUGAGCCUUGAUGUGUAGGAUAGGUGGGAGGCUUUGAAGCGUGGACGCCAGUCUGCGUGGAGCCAACCUUGAAAUACCACCCUUUAAUGUUUGAUGUUCUAACGUUGGCCCCUGACCGGGGUUGCGGACAGUGUCUGGUGGGUAGUUUGACUGGGGCGGUCUCCUCCCAAAGCGUAACGGAGGAGCACGAAGGUUAGCUAAUCCUGGUCGGACAUCAGGAGGUUAGUGCAAUGGCAUAAGCUAGCUUGACUGCGAGCGUGACGGCGCGAGCAGGUGCGAAAGCAGGUCAUAGUGAUCCGGUGGUUCUGAAUGGAAGGGCCAUCGCUCAACGGAUAAAAGGUACUCCGGGGAUAACAGGCUGAUACCGCCCAAGAGUUCAUAUCGACGGCGGUGUUUGGCACCUCGAUGUCGGCUCAUCACAUCCUGGGGCUGAAGUAGGUCCCAAGGGUAUGGCUGUUCGCCAUUUAAAGUGGUACGCGAGCUGGGUUUAGAACGUCGUGAGACAGUUCGGUCCCUAUCUGCCGUGGGCGCUGGAGAAUUGAGGGGGGCUGCUCCUAGUACGAGAGGACCGGAGUGGACGCAUCACUGGUGUUCGGGUUGUCAUGCCAAUGGCACUGCCCGGUAGCUAAAUGCGGAAGAGAUAAGUGCUGAAAGCAUCUAAGCACGAAACUUGCCCCGAGAUGAGUUCUCCCUGAGACUUUAAGUCUCCUGAAGGAACGUUGAAGACGACGACGUUGAUAGGCCGGGUGUGUAAGCGCAGC
rnacentral:rRNA from 1 species